rnacentral:rRNA from 1 species
GACGAACGCUGGCGGCGUGCCUAAUACAUGCAAGUAGAACGCUGAAGGAGGAGCUUGCUUCUCUGGAUGAGUUGCGCACGGGUGAGUAACGCGUAGGUAACCUGCCUGGUAGCGGGGGAUAACUAUUGGAAACGAUAGCUAAUACCGCAUAAGAGUAGAUGUCGCAUGACAUUUGCUUCAAAGGUGCAAUUGCAUCACUACCAGAUGGACCUGCGUUGUAUUAGCUAGUUGGUGAGGUAACGGCUCAACAAGGCAACGAUACAUAGCCGACCUGCGAGGGGGAUCGGCCACACUGGGACUGAGACACGGCCCAAGCGCCUACGGGAGGGAGCAGGAGGGAAACUUCGGCAAUGGAGGGAAGGCUGACCGAGCAACGCCGGGUGAGGGAAGAAGGGUUUCGGAUCGGAAAGAUCGGUUGUAAGAGAAGAAAGAGUGUGAGAGUGGAAAGUGCACACUGUGACGGUAUCUUAUCAGAAAGGGACGGCUAACUACGUG